AUUGAACGCUGGCGGCAUGCCAUACACAUGCAAGUCGAACGGCAGCACGGGUGCUUGCACCUGGUGGCGAGUGGCGAACGGGUGAGUAAUACAUCGGAACGUACCUUGUCGUGGGGGAUAACGCAGCGAAAGCUGUGCUAAUACCGCAUACGCCCUGAGGGGGAAGGCGGGGGAUCGCAAGACCUCGCGCGAUUAGAGCGGCCGAUGCCUGAUUAGCUUGUUGGUGGGGUAAAAGCCCACCAAGGCGACGAUCAGUAGCUGGUCUGAGAGAACGAUCAGCCACACUGGGACUGAGACACGGCCCAGACUCCUACGGGAGGCAGCAGUGGGGAAUUUUGGACAAUGGGGGCAACCCUGAUCCAGCAAUGCCGCGUGAGUGAAGAAGGCCUUCGGGUUGUAAAGCUCUUUUGUCAGGGAAGAAACACCGGCUCUAACACAGUCCGGGAAUGACGGUACCUGAAGAAUAAGCACCGGCUAACUACGUGCCAGCCGCCGCGGUAA
rnacentral:rRNA from 1 species